rnacentral:rRNA from 1 species
GAUGAACGCUGGCGGCGUGCCUAAUACAUGCAAGUCGAGCGAACGGACGAGAAGCUUGCUUCUCUGAUGUUAGCGGCGGACGGGUGAGUAACACGUGGCUAACCUACCUAUAAGACUUGGAUAACUUCGGGAAACCGUAGCUAAUACCGGAUGAUAUUUUUAACCGCAUGGUUCAAAAGUGAAAGACGGUCUUGCUGUCACUUAUAGAUUUAUCCGCUCUGCAUUAGCUAGUUGGUAAGGUAACGGCUUACCAAGGCAACGAUGCAUAGCCGACCUGAGAGGGUGAACGGCCACACUGGAACUGAGACACGGUACAGACUCCUAGGGGAGGCAGCAGUAGGGAAUCUUCCGAAAAGGGCGAAAGACUGAAGGAGCAACGCCGCGUGAGUGAUGAAGGUCUGCGGAUCGUAAAACUCUGUUAUUAGGGAAGAACAUAUGUGUAAGUAACUGUGCACAUCUUGACGGUACCUAAUCAGAAAGCCACGGCUAACUACGUG